rnacentral:rRNA from 1 species
UACGGAGGGAGCUAGCGUUGUUCGGAAAUACUGGGCGUAAAGCGCACGUAGGCGGCGCAGCAAGUCAGGGGUGAAAUCCCGGGGCUCAACCCCGGAACUGCCCUUGAAACUGCAGUGCUAGAAUCUUGGAGAGGUGAGUGGAAUGCCGAGUGUAGAGGUGAAAUUCGUAGAUAUUCGGCGGAACACCGGUGGCGAAGGCGGCAUCCUGGACCGAGAUUGACGCUGAGGCGCGAAAGCCAGGGGAGCAAACGGG